AGUUCACCCAGCGCGCCGACCUGUUGGUGGUCCGCGCGCGCCCACGUCCGCCGCUCUCGCUUGCCUGGAUCAAGGGCCCUACUUUUUUCUUUAGUGGCAAUUGGAGGGAUUGCUGGAGGGGGUUUUUGAGUGGAGGGCGCUGGGAAAUGAGUAGGGGGCGGGAUAUCCUGAGACAACAAGUUUGGCUGUAUGGAGGGCCUACCGGCAGCGCUCCUGAGCUAGAACGCCGAGAGAAAGAGCGCCAGAGGAGCCAGGGAGGAGGAGAAGAGCUGCUAAAGGAAUAACCCCGAGAAAGGGGGUGGAGAGGAGGCGGCCCCAGCGCCCCGGCCCCCGGCAGGUCGGCGGCCAAUCCGCUGGGGGAAGGGGUGGAGAGUCGGAGGCUCCGGCGGAGAGAGGCCGAGGGGGGUGGGGAG
rnacentral:lncRNA from 1 species